AUUUUCCGCAAGGAAUCCAUGGCCGCCUGCACAGCCAGCGGAGCGCCCACGGGAGCUCCCCGCAGCCGCAAGCUGUUGCCGCGCGGUCUCACUACCCCUUGGCGCAGGCUAGAGCGCCCUAUAGCAGAAACCAUAGAUAAGCGGCCGGCUAGAGAGGACCUGCUCGAGGAAACGUUUGGAAUCCGGAGCGCUUGGAUCUCAGGCUGGGCUUGGAGCCCACAGGACCCUAGAAGUCCUUUAAGAACAUUUAACGCUGGACUCAGCUGGGGGCAGGACCAGGAUGAAGAAGAUGCUUGUUGGAUUCUUGAGGACACAGCAUGUCUGGAAGCCACCAACCACUGUCCCUUCUGGGACUCAACAGGCUCCCGUGUUUGUAGAAGUGGCUUUGUGGAAUAUUCCCAUCUCCUGCCUCCUAAUAGCUUUGAGGGUAAGUAUUGUUCCCUCCCCCUCAAAUAUCUCAUCCAGGUUUAUGAAGCUCCUUAUACCCAUCCUCUUACAAUCUCCUUUUACAGGUGACAAAAAUGAGGCUUACAGGUUAGGCCACUAGAUUAUACAAGUCAGUCAGCGCAGGGGUUUUGA
rnacentral:lncRNA from 1 species